rnacentral:rRNA from 1 species
GACGAACGCUGGCGGCGUGCUUAACACAUGCAAGUCGAACGAAAAGAGGGAAAGAGCUUGCUCUUUCCGGAAUUGAGUGGCAAACGGGUGAGUAACACGUAAACAACCUGCCUUCAGGAUGGGGACAACAGACGGAAACGACUGCUAAUACCGAAUAAGUUCCAAGAGCCGCAUGGCCCAUGGAAGAAAAGGUGGCCUCUACCUGUAAGCUAUCGCCUGAAGAGGGGUUUGCGUCUGAUUAGCUGGUUGGAGGGGUAACGGCCCACCAAGGGGACGAUCAGUAGCCGGUCUGGGAGGAUGAACGGCCACACUGGAACUGAGACACGGUCCAGACUCCUACGGGAGGCAGCAGUGGGGAAUCUUCCGCAAUGGGCGAAAGCCUGACGGGGCAACGCCGCGUGAGUGAUGACGGCCUUCGGGUUGUAAAACUCUGUGAUCCGGGACGAAAAGGCAGAGUGCGAAGAACAAACUGCAUUGACGGUACCGGAAAAGCAAGCCACGGCUAACUACGUG